CGCAGUAUUAGGGUGGGAGUGACCUGAUUUUCCAGGUACCGUCUCUCACGGCUUCCCUUGGCUAGGAAAGGGAAUUCCCUGAUCCCUUGCACUUCCUGGGUGAGGCGAUGCCUCGCCCUGCUUUGGCUCAUGCUCCAUGGGCUGCAGCCACUGUCCUGCACCCACUGUCAGACAAGCCCCAGUGAGAUGAACCCUGUACCUCAGUUGGAAAUGCAGAAAUCACCCGUCUUUUGUGUCGCUCACGGUGGGUGCUGUAGACUGGAGCUGUUCCUAUUCGGCCAUCAUAGAACCUCCUCCUAAUCAUGCCUAGUCAAUGUAAAGACAAUGAGGAUGAAGACCUUUAUGAAGAUGACUUCCACUUAAUGAAUAGGUUUUUGGAGCUACUGCAUGAUGAACAAGAACACAUCUGUGUGCUGGAAGGGUGGUGCAUUCCAAACUCCACAAGGACAGAAGCUUCUGUGCUCAGGACCCUUCCAGACCUUGCCCUAUGUACCCCUUCAUCUGGCUGUGCAUCUGUAUCCUUUAAUAUAUCCUCUGCAAUAAAU
rnacentral:lncRNA from 1 species